UUUAAAAUGGCUUUUAUUGAGACACUUUUAGGGCUUCUGCUACAUCGCUAGUUGGGGAUCUUCUUUAUUUCCAAUUCUUAGGUGGCUAAAUUCUUCUCUGAAUGCCUACAACGCCCAUUCCCACCACCUUAGCGAGGAAGCACACGGUCUCUGCUUAAAUGUUCAAUCAGGAAUGUAUGUCCCCCUCCGCUAUUCUAUACAAGUCUCCUUAGGCCUCCUAAGCCCAGACUCCGUUCUUUCCCACCUAGUAAUUGAUUAGGCAGACUAAUUUCAAACCAAGGGUGAGAGGGCUUCAGUUCAGCUAUUACUAUCCUUAAGAGAAAAGCUUUCUCAAUGCCAGUUCUUCUGAUUUGAUAAUCCGUGGCAUCUUAAUUUAGGGACAUCCUGUCCCAAACAUUAUUAGCUGGUGUCUGUAGAAUUUAUAAUCUCCUUGUAGAACAGACUUAAAAUAACUCCAUGCCAGCCCCGAACGCCCUAAAGGUCCUGCCUGGUCUAUUCUUACACUUUCUCCUGUAGUUUCUGAGAAGCAGGAUGUUAACAUUUUAGGAGGAGAUUGGUCAACUUUCUUUGGUCUUGUUAAUGCUUUUGUCACAGCUAUCUUUGGGAAGGAGUCUUAGAAAUUACGGAUGCCAGCCACUGAAGACCUCUUUAGACCAACGUCCCCGAGAGGUGCUUGCUAGGCUUCUGUCCUCUGCAUGGAUUGGCACUUUCCAUCAUUGCUGUAAUUACUGAAACAGUGGCCUAAUACCGCCUCCUCGUACUCUUCCAUUCUUUAGUCCAAGCUGCUCUUGGGAAUCUAUGUAGUAAAUAUACUAGCUCUUUCCAUCUUAACAGCCCUUCAAGUGUGUGAUCUCCAAAGCCUUUUUAAUAGCAAGAUGGUCAAGAGAAUUACAACAAAAGCAGAGAGUAGUUGCCUGUUUAGUACAAUUGUUCCCAUUAUAAGGUGAAAACUAACAUUUACUUCCUUUUAUAAGAAAGAACGCCAGGGUAUUAAUAUUCUGCUUGCAAAUUAAUGCCAAUUUGUUUACAUCCUUUUAUCAUUGAGACAUUUACAUAUAUAAGCAGGCUCUGCUCCUUAACAAAAGGGGAACUGAAAAACUCAUGAAUGUUUAUUUUUGCAGUUAAAAAGGAAAAAGACAAAACCAAACCAAAAGAAUUUGUUAACAGGUGCCUUGAGAGAAAGCAUUCUUAAUGCCAGUGGCACAUCUUGGUCUUCUGUAAGUUUCCUCAGUGGCUGUGGCUUCCACCUCUGAUGAAAGUGAGCCAUGGCAUCAGCUGGUACAAGACAUAAUGGACACAUAGGACUGUAAUGUGUAAUAAAGCAAGUAUUUACAUUAAGCACAAUACAGCAAUUUAUUUAGAUGCUUAAAAUGAAUACAAAGGGAAAUAAAGAUCACAAAAUUAUACAUACUACAACAGUGUGUCAUAUAUUAGAUGGUAUAAAUGAAUACACCAGGGUGGUGUUUAACUAAAGAUAAAACUAAAUAUCCAAAAUGCAGCACUCAUUGGUUUGCUGCUUCAACACAACACACUUUCAUACAGAUCUAAAAGGUGUCAAAAUUAGUAGCUGCAAAGUCAAUUCUUGCAUGUGAUUUUUUAGCUUAAAAGAUUUCAGAAAACAGAUCUGAAAUACCAGUUUUUGUUUCUGUCAGCUGUAAUGUCAAGGAUAUUCAGAACAAGAAAAAUUCUAUAAUACAAGAGAGUCCAGAUAUAUAUCUUAUGUGGCUGGCCUCUGUUCCAAGAUUGUACAAGGUUAUGUGCAAAAACUAAGUCUGUCCAAAAGUCCAUACUAGCGCAGUUUCAAGCUUUUGCUAGGUAAACUAGAUAGAGCGUUUAUUACACAGCAAGGGCAACACUAAAAAAAGAAAUCUAGGAUGGGUACACAAUAACAAUAUCAUAGGCAUCACUUGAAUAGGUCUAAAAGACUGUACAAAUAUACAUUUCAACUAUUCAGAAUGAAUACAUGAAAAAAAAUUGAUUUUCCCCAAAGUCUACUAUACACAUUGGACUGGUAGCUUGAAUGUUGGCCCUACACUACCGUGUGAAUCAGGGUUAACGCUUCCCAAGAACAUCCAACCAAACAUUUUACAGAGGGAAAGAAAUGUCGAGAAGGCAGAUAAAAUAAACCUCUGCUUUUCCUCAUGUGCGUUCGUGAGCCACCAGCUUAUUGGUUGUUCACAUUUAUUUACUGUGUCUGUCACAGCAAGUUCUGAAGCAAGAUCAGCCAAUCGUGUGUCACAGACUUAGAAAUAACCACUGGGAUUAGCAGUGGCCAUGUAUCCCUACAGCCCGAUGACCCAGCACUCAAAAGGCAGUACCAGUCAGAAUACAGCUUUGCAGUCCUACCGAAAGGACAGCAGAGCUCCAGGCUGCAGCAGGUCACCGAUGCCUGAGAACCUGGUACUUAGGCCUGCUGGCUGCUCAGUUUCACUCCGGUUAGGCUGCCAUGCAUUGGCUCAGCAACCCCAUCAGUCAUGUUGUCAAACUGCUCCCCAUCCUCACUGUCAAUUGUGCUAUUCUGCCACUCAAUCUGUGGGUUAGAUAAGCGCUCAUCAUUUUCAGAUGCGUUCUUCCACUGUGACUGGUCCUUGGACCAAAACCCUUCAACUUUUCCAUAGGAACUAUUCUUCCAUUUCAACUGCUCUCUGUCACCUUGCAUGGUAGCCUUUUUUUUUGGCAGCUGGCUUACUGCUUCUUGCAUCUUCACUCUGGGAAGACUCAUCAGACCAGGUUCCUGCUUUCAUUUCACAUGUGUUGUCCUCAAAGUCUGACACUUGUUGGGAACCAGGGCCACUCUCAGAUGGAGAAGCACCAUCUUUCCACUCAACAACAUCAUCCUGGUCAACCUCACUGUCAGAAGCAUCAUGCAUCAGUUUGGUUGGUUCCUCAGUCAAAUGAAUAGUUUCAUAUUUUGAACCAUCCUCCUCUUUUUGGUCUAGCUUCUCCUCAGAUUCUAAAGCAUCCUCAGAAAUGACCUUCGGUAUGUGUUCCUCUGGGUUAUCGUUAGAGAUUUUAGGCUCAACUUCAAACACAGGGUCAAAAGGGCUACCACUUCCAUUGGAUUCUUCCUCCAAAUUUUCAAAACUGUCUGAGGAGCUGUCCUCCUCCUUCCCAAGGCUGAGCUUUUUGUCAGCAGUUUUACUAGCAUUGACUCUGGAAUCCUUCUCGUCAUGAUUCUCAAACAGCCACUCAGCAUCAAAAUCCAUCUCGUGCUUCACUUUGUUUAGUUCUUUCAUGUUGAAGCCCAGUAACACACCAGGCUUGUACUUUUCACAGUCUCGGACACACUUCUUCCUCUUGUUACUAAAAUGGGAAGCAAUGUCACUCUUCCACAACCACAAACUGGCGGCCAGCUUCUCAAUUUCUCUCCUGGUGGGAUAGGGCUGUUUGUUAAAAUACUUCGUUAGGAAGCUUUUCCUGGCUUCAUAGGAAUCAUCUUCAUGACCCUUGGGGUCUAAAGCUAAAACAACAGGCUCCUCAGGCUUCUCUUCAAAGAAACUGGGUGAAUCGCUAUCAUCGUCUAACUUUCGCUUUUUCAGCAAGGGAAAUUCCACUUGCUCGUAAGUGCGCUUGACAGGUGCCAGGCCCGGUGACUGAUUAAGCCGAGAGGGUGCAUUUGUCUUAUCCUGGCCAUUCUGGGUCUUUCCAACACCCCUGCAGUGAACGAGAUGCAGAGUGAUAGUCGAGGCGGUCAUGUUGCUGGUGUACACACCAAGGCAAUGGAUGCAUUUGUAGGUGAGCUUUUUUUCCACGGGAUGAACCGUCUGAAUAACUUGGUGCCUCUCUCGUAGGUGAUGUGCAAGUGCAUCAGAUAUGGGUCCUUUUAGGAUUGAAAAGCAAAGAGGGCAAAGGGUUUUCCCAACAUCUUUUUUAUAGGGUACUGCAGCUUGAGGUGAACUUUUAACAGGGAUAUCUGCCUUUUCCUGAACUUUUGGCUGUGGCUUUGGAGGGACUGGAGGGUUAUUUUGGGCAUGGUAAGCAACAGAUUCAGCCGGGGCAUCCCUCAGGUUGUAUGUGGUUACCAGGAGAUGGAUAUUAGUGUGACUACCCUGCUGCAAUGUCAAAUCAAAACUCAAAGUGGAAUCUGUUUUAGGUCCCAUCUCUUCAUCAAUGUGAACCAUCCGCAUGUGUGCCGCCAUCUUUUCCACAUCGUUGAAAGUUGAACGGCAAUAUGGACAAGACAGACCAUGAAUUAACAUAUGGUUGAGCAGGGUAUCUGUGGGCAAAUAGCGAUUACAGUAGAGGCAUUUGCUAGUAAAAUUGUGUAUUUUCAUAAUGUAGUUGGCUACUGCUGGGACUUUCUCAGCUUUAUGUUCUUUUUCGAAGUGCACACUAUACACAUUUUCAGGAAAAAGCUCAUUACAGAUUGUACAUAUUUUCCACUUUUGAGUUGAGGAAGUAUUGGCUGGGGGAGGGCCCGUGGCAGCUGCAGUAGGUUUGGAACUGGACUGACCUAAUACUCUGGAUGCCUGUGACUGGGAGAGGGAGGGAGACUUUAGCUGGCCUGCUGAGAGAGAAGAAGCAUUAGCAGCCUGCAGGGAGUAUCUUGCUGGUGCCUGGGACCUCUGCUCUGACCCAAGCCCGUAAGAUCUUCCAUUUCCACUUGGAAGUAACUGCUUCACAGACUGAGACUGCUGAGGGAUGGAAACUGGUGCGUUGCCACCUAGACCCAGUCUCAUUGACUGACCAACGCCAUAGCCCUGGCCUACAGAUUUGACUCCAUAGUUAUUUUGCUGUAGGUGAACAUUGGACAUCAUGUUGACUCCUGUAGAAUUUAAGUUAGGCUUUGGUAUUGAGAGUCGAUUUACCAUCUGCUGUGAUGGCAAAGACCGGACAUUUCCAGAAGCAAGGGAACCAAUUCUUGACUGGAGUCCCAUGCCCUUCUUCUCUUGAGGUUUGGGAGCAAUUAGCAUCAAGGGUUUGGAUCGGGGAACCACCACAUUUGUGUGCCCAAUCAUGGCAGUGACCUGAUAGCCUAUACGUUCAUGGUCUUCGAUGACGUGUUGUACCAAAGCUUCGUAGGACUUUGGCAUGAAAAGGCAUCUCUUGCAGUGAAUACUACUCUCUUCCCGGGCAUUUGAACCUAAAGGGACUGCACCGUUGAGUGACUUCUCACCUGCCUUUGCUAUGUAAGGCGCUGCCACGUGCUGAAAAUGUUCCCUGUAAAUGUGCUUCCUAACGAUUUCAUAAAGAGGAUCUCGUGCUGAGGCUGCUACUUGGUGCGCUGGCAUUUGGAGCAUGAAAUAUUUUAAUGUGUGUUUCCAAAGUCUUUUUGUCUGCAUUGAAGGCAGAGAAGAAUUUUGAAGAAAAUGGACAAGCACUGCAGCAAAAAGGUUUCGUCCGGUAGUCCUAAAGAAAAGACAAAAACUGGAAUUAGAAUGCCACUUCAGGAAGGUAAUAAC